rnacentral:rRNA from 1 species
GAUGAACGCUGGCGGCGUGCCUAAUACAUGCAAGUCGAGCGAACAGACGAGAAGCUUGCUCCUCUGACGUUAGCGGCGGACGGGUGAGUAACACGUGGAUAACCUACCUAUAAGACUGGGAUAACUUCGGGAAACCGGAGCUAAUACCGGAUAAUAUUUUGAACCGCAUGGUUCAAUAGUGAAAGACGGUUUUGCUGUCACUUAUAGAUGGAUCCGCGCUGCAUUAGCUAGUUGGUAAGGUAACGGCUUACCAAGGCAACGAUGCAUAGCCGACCUGAGAGGGUGAUCGGCCACACUGGAACUGAGACACGGUCCAGACUCCUACGGGAGGCAGCAGUAGGGAAUCUUCCGCAAUGGGCGAAAGCCUGACGGAGCAACGCCGCGUGAGUGAUGAAGGUCUUCGGAUCGUAAAACUCUGUUAUUAGGGAAGAACAAAUGUGUAAGUAACUAUGCACAUCUUGACGGUACCUAAUCAGAAAGCCACGGCUAACUACGUG